UCUGGUUGGAUUUCAACUAGCUGGUUGGAGAGCUUCAGGGGUAAAAUGGGAGAGCUGUUGGUUCUUCGAUGUCUACAUCUGGAGGCUUUUACUGUUUUACACAGCCAUAGUUCACCGACUUCAGUUUUGGCUUCCAUUCUUCACCGACUUCCUUGCCUUCUUCUCUUUCGAUUCGAAGAUCAAUUUCCAUCUAAACUCAUCUCCGUCUGCUGCUCGCCUGGCCUUGGCUUCUGAUCAGGUGAUUUUAUCAUUAAGAUGUCAAUGUUGACUGCUCCAAGUACAAUUGUUAGCUCGCCUCUAUUGCCAACAGGUGCUCACUUUUCGACUCACUUGGGUUCUAUCAGGAAGGGGAUUGAAUCUCACAUAUUAGCUCAGCUGCACCCAGAAAACUAUCUUAGAAGAUAAU